GGUAUUUCAAUGAAUGAAUGAGUGUAUGAAAAUGACUGUAUUUGUUUUAAGACUAUAAUCAGGAAUGCUAAUGAUUUACCCAAAUUUGCUGUCUACAGUUUGCUGGUCCAUAAGUAGGCUAUAAAGAUAUAACCAGUCAAGCCACUGGUUGUUUAAUCACAAUCUCUUGAUCUGUACUAUAGGGUAAUUGCAUGCAUAGACACUCAUGUAAGUUUUGAGGCCUUUGAGCAGACUAUUUUGACAGCAGUACCAUCAUUCUCCUACCUCCAGCUGGCAAUUACUUACUACUUUUGGUGAACUCCCAUCCUUGGAGCUACACUCAUCUUUUGAGGGUUAUAAAGGGGGCGGGUGAGACUUCUUUUGGUUUUUUAACUUUGCUGAUGGCAACACUUCAAUCAGUCUUGAAAAUGUCUCACAUUGUUGCUUAGUAAUGUUUGCUACCUCUAAUCUUACACUGAUUAUGCUUGAUAAGCCAGCAAUGUAUAUGGUCAUGUGAAAAUCUUAAAUGGUCUUUUAAUGUUUAAAGGUUAUAAUGAGAGAGAGAGAGAGAGAGAGAGAGAGAGAGAGAGAGAGAGAGAGAGAGAGAGAGAGAAAGUGCAUAUCCAACCCCUCGGAAAAUCCCCUAAUUUCACCAAGCCCUGUCUUGUUUGACCUCCCUGUCAUUUGGGUUUCGACAGCAUGUGGCUUCUGACAGUUUGAGUUUAGCUCAGCAGCUUAGAGGGGGUCUUCUUGGACAUUAGAGGACAUGUGUCCACAACCAGGAGCCCACGCCUGACACCAGCAGAAAGAGAAGCCUGUUGACGACUAAUUUCCAGCAGCGGGAUAUUACCAAGGAGGAUACCACCAUCCCACAGUGCGGGUCAGUCACCUCAGGACCCAUGCUGCCUUUCUACGUCCUUUGACCAGAACAGGCUCCAUAACUGUUCCUGUUGCACCAGAUCAGAAGCAUCUGUGGACAACAACAAUAAAAUACCCAACAGGAACCUGGCGUCAUACAGUUCACCCCCUACCUCUUAGCCCUGAGGUGUGUGUAUGCCAUCAUUGCAGGUGUUUACCUCCAAACCAACCCGAAGAACCCCUGCCAUGGCAACACAAUCACACACUAUGUGGUCAACACAGGAAAUGCAAAUGCAAACACCUGAGUGAAUACCUCAGGGAACAAUUAAUUUAAGGAUUAGCAUUAAUGAAGUAAUGUUCUGCUUGUUUGUUUAACAACAUAUAACCAACUUGAUUGUGUAUGUUUUAUUUAGUUUAGUUUGGAUUACUUCUAAAAUAAACUUUUAUACAUUAAUAAAGAA
ensembl:lncRNA